rnacentral:rRNA from 1 species
UGGGGAAUAUUGCACAAUGGGGGAAACCCUGAUGCAGCCAUGCCGCGUGUGUGAAGAAGGCCUUCGGGUUGUAAAGCACUUUCAGUUGUGAGGAAAGGUUGGUAGUUAAUACCUGCCAGCUGUGACGUUAACAACAGAAGAAGCACCGGCUAACUCCGUGCCAGCAGCCGCGGUAAUACGGAGGGUGCGAGCGUUAAUCGGAAUUACUGGGCGUAAAGCGCACGCAGGCGGCUUGUUAAGCUAGAGGUGAAAGCCCCGCGCUCAACGUGGGAACUGCCUUUAGAACUGGCAGGCUAGAGUCUUGGAGAGGGGAGUGGAAUUCCAGGUGUAGCGGUGAAAUGCGUAGAUAUCUGGAGGAACAUCAGUGGCGAAGGCGGCUCCCUGGCCAAAGACUGACGCUCAUGUGCGAAAGUGUGGGUAGCGAACAGG